GGAAACGUGCCCGAAAAACAAGGAUCUCCUUGAUGGGGAGAACUAUAGAGGUUUAAACCCUCUCGUUUCCU
rnacentral:tRNA from 1 species